CUUCCUCUUUCCCUUUUACGUAUUUGUGCAGCGGAAGAGGGAGAAAUUGAAGAUGGCUACUUUGUUGUUCCAAUUUGUCAACGCGCCCGGCCCUUUUCUUUGCAACAGUGACAAGCCUUCCACUGCCGUUGCGUGCUUGACCCCCAUCCCUUCACGCCUCAGCGCCUUUCCUCCUCGCAUUGGCCGGAGCUCGGCCGCUUCUCGCGGCGGUGGCUUGGAUGCUGCAGGGGACGAGAAGUUCUACCGUGGACUGAGGUGGCACGGUCGUCCUGGCGAGGGGAGUGGAAGUAGGAGGAGUCGGAAGAUGCUGGCGCUAGGCGGCGGACAGGGGGCCGUUGCGUCGAUGGUGGACUUGCUGCUGCAGCGGCCACCAACAUGGGUAUCCGCUCUACUGAGCAACGUGGUAAUCUUCGUGGUAGGCUCUCCCCUCCUGGUGAGCGGCCUCUCUAUAUCCGGUAUCGCUUCCGCUUUCCUCCUGGGUAUCUUGACGUGGAGGUCGUUCGGCCCUCCCGGGUUCCUCCUCGUGGCCACUUACUUUGUCAUCGGAACUGCUGUAACGAAGCUGAAGAUUGCCCAAAAGGAAGCCCAAGGUGUUGCUGAAAAGCGCAGGGGAAGAAGAGGGCCGGGAAGUGUUAUUGGAUCCAGUGCUGCUGGAUGCCUUUGUGCAUUUCUGUCAAUCUUUCAGAUUGGUGGGAAAUCGUUCGCGGGACUGUGGCAACUUGGGUUUGUGGCGAGCUUUUGUACAAAGCUGAGCGAUACAGUUUCCAGUGAGAUUGGCAAGGCGUAUGGAAAGACGACGUAUCUCAUUACAACAUUGAAAAUAGUCCCUAGGGGAACUGAAGGAGCCGUGAGCAUAGAGGGGACAUUUGCUGGGCUUUUAGCUUCAGUCAUCUUUGUGAGCAUCGGUACUUCCUUGGGUUUGAUUAGUUUCGGUGAAGCUGUUCUGUGUGUGAUUGCAUCCCAGGUUGCAAAUUUUGGGGAGAGUUUAGUUGGUGCUACAUUCCAAGGGAAAGAUGGAUUCAGAUGGGGUGAUGGCUGGAGAUAGACUUGGUGUCAAAAAUAUCGUGAAUGAGUUGACGUGUGAGUGAUCAAAAUCCAUUUAGGAGGACCUAAUGAGAGGUGAUCUUGAGCUGCUUGGUGAUUCAGCUUACCAAUGAUGUUGUCAACGUUAUAAACAUUUCAAUCGGCACCGCUCUUGCCAUACUGAUGAAGCAAACGUUACUCUGAGGGAUACUUUUGCCAUACCUCAUCCAUCAAUUUUAUUCCAUCAAUGUGUAUGCUUUCAUUUUCCUCUUUAUGUAUUCUGUAUAUACACUUGCUUGAAGUGGUUGGCCAUUACUACAAGCUAAUUUUUUUCAGUUUCUUCAA